rnacentral:rRNA from 1 species
GAUGAACGCUAGCUACAGGCUUAACACAUGCAAGUCGAGGGGAAACGACAUCGAAAGCUUGCUUUUGAUGGGCGUCGACCGGCGCACGGGUGAGUAACGCGUAUCCAACCUGCCCACCACUUGGGGAUAACCUUGCGAAAGUAAGACUAAUACCCAAUGAUAUCUCUAGAAGACAUCUGAAAGAGAUUAAAGAUUUAUCGGUGAUGGAUGGGGAUGCGUCUGAUUAGCUUGUUGGCGGGGUAACGGCCCACCAAGGCAACGAUCAGUAGGGGUUCUGAGAGGAAGGUCCCCCACAUUGGAACUGAGACACGGUCCAAACUCCUACGGGAGGCAGCAGUGAGGAAUAUUGGCCAAUGGACGAGAGUCUGAACCAGCCAAGUAGCGUGCAGGAAGGCGGCCCUAUGGGUUGUAAACUGCUUUUAGAAGGGAAUAAAGUGAGUCUCGUGAGACUUUUUGCAUGUACCUUAUGAAUAAGGACCGGCUAAUUCCGUG